CAAGUUAUUACAGAGUUUGAUCGCAGCGGUCAAACCAUGCUGUGCAAACGCUAUUAGUUUCUUGUUGAUCCGAGACAAAUCUCUGUCCCUUGUGAAUCCUCAUUGAUCUGGAAUCCCGCUUUAUCGUUUAAUUUCUGAUCAGAGAAAAGAUUGUUGUGCGAACUGUUUGAGGCCUCAAUUAAUAAAGUCACAAUGCUUGCUGCGGUUACAGAGAAACAUUGUAACUUGACUGGUGAAAGGACAGAGCUAGGACCUCCAUUGAAGGGGCAUUCACCAAGUUUCUUUCUCUCCAACAAGUAUUCUCAAUCUCAAGGUAUGUUGGUUGUUUUCAACUAUAUUUUUGUUCACAUUACUAGUUAUGUAGAUGUGAGUAGAAUUAUAGGUAGAUAUCAUACUAGAUCUGAACUAAUUCCUGCGAAAACUAAAACUACACUUGUAAAUGGGUUUAGUUGGGCAACUAAACCUGGUCUGGGUUUAGGGUGGUUUAGUUGCCCAACUAAACUCGGUCUGGGUCCUCGUUUUUUUUUUUUGGGUUUGUGUGUACCGUUGCAUCCAUGGUAAUGGUGAAAUUAAUUUCUUCCUUUGAAUCUUGCAACAAUGGAUGUAGUGACGAUGAUCAUCUAGUGGAACGGAAAAUGGAAUGGGAAUAAAUACGUUGGAGGUUAUAAGAGGUGUGCGGGGGCCUUCAAGAAUGCGAUUUUUUCAAUUUGAUUGACAUUGUUUACACGGUGACGAAAAUUGAUAAAAUAAGAUAUGACAUUAUCAUUCAUUAUGUAAUCGAAGCCUUGGGAAAUAUUCCAGGUAGUAAGGUCCCCAUAAUAGACGACUAUGGUGUUAAGUUUAUUAUGUUUGACGAAGACAUAUAUAAAGUGAUUUAUGUUGAUACCAUUUGUAAAGAUGCUGGAGUUGGUAACUUACAUAGUUAGCCACAAAACUAAUUUCCUUCAUAUAGUGGUGGUAAUCAGGAUUUAGCUGUUGUCUUUCUGCUUACAUCUGCACAUAGUCCACUAAGGAACUAUGAUGAUAAUGAUGAUGGUGAUGGUGAUAAUGAGACAGGCGAUGAUGAUACAAAUGUUAAUGGUGAUGACGGUGGUGAUGAUGAUGAUGAUGGAUGAGCCAAUCUUAAGUACCCGAAAGUUAGAUUUUCAGCUUCACAAUUUGAGGACAACCCUUUACAAGAAAGUUGGAUCGUUUCUAGUAUAGAAAAUUGUGCAAUUGAGGUAGCGCGACCCGAAGUGCUGACCUCUUACCAGGGUGAAAUAUUUUACAAGGGCACAUUCUUUAAAUCUAAAUAGGAACAGACUUUGGCCCUUGGAUACUAUUGUGUUGAUGUGAAGAUAGAAUAUCGAAUCAGAUGCUCAUGCACAUUUUGAUUUGAGGCCGGUUACAAAGAUGUAAACUGCAAGUUUUGAUUCACGUAAGAUACUGACUCAAUUGUUUGUUUUGGCAUGUGGUUAAGUAUGUGGCUUGUCACACAUGUACUUCAGAUGUCUUCGAUUCACAUUUUUGGAGUAUGAAGACUAUUGUUGUAAGAAGUUUGUUCUCAAAAAGAGUGACCGGUGGUGAUUAUACAUCUAGAAUGGUGAUGGAAGAAUUACUGGAGUAGCAUGGUGUGCAGAUCAUGUACACUAAAUCUUGGAGGUCUUUAUAAUAUGCAAAGAAACUAGCAUAUAGGAAUGUAAAUGAGUCAUUUUAGCAGUUACUUUCCUAUUUUCACAUUCUAAAAGAAACAAACCCCGACACUAUCAUGAUAAUUGAGAAAAAUGAAAACAAUAAUUUCUUAUAUUAAUAUUUUUUGUGCUUGGAGCUUCCCUUCAGGGUUUUUGAUCUUACAUAAGAUCCGUUAUUGCCGUUGAUGCCACAUAUUUGAAAGGUAAAUACAAAUGUGCGAUUUUCGUUAUUACUUGAAAAGAUGGGAAAUAGAUGAUUUAUCCCAUUGCUUUUGGAUUUGACGAUGGAGAGUCAGACAUAUCAUGGAUUUGGUUCCUUAGAAAAUUGAGAGAGGUUAUCAAUGUGCCGGAUGAUUUGGUCAUCGUAUCCGAUCCUUACUAAAGUAUUGCGAAUGCAAUGAGCCAUGUCUUCUUUUCCGUCCCACACAUCUUUUGUUUCUUCCACCUUAAACAAAACCUGAAGAGACGCUAUAGACAGUGAGGGGAUGUGAUGGAAACACUCUACUGUGUAGCAUAUAGCUACACCACAGUAGAGUGUGAUAUAUACUUGGUAGAAAUUCAGUCGAUACAUCUGGUGAUGCAUCGAACAUUGGUCAAAGCUGGGCUAGAAAAGUGGUCACAUGCACAUUGUCCUAGAAAAAAAUAUUUCAUCAUGACCACCAACAUUGCCGAGUCUCUCAAUAAAUGCAUGAUGAAAGCACGUUGGUUCAGUCAUAGGCAUGUUGCUGCUGCUAGACUCGAAACUGAUGUUACCUCCGCUGUAGUGACACAUAUCGACUUUUCCCAUGGCAAAACAUUGGAGUAAGGAUGUCAUGUAUUUCCUGUAGUACAAGGUAACAAGUACUUUGUUAAACAUGCUAAGGAAUGCGAUGUGAUAGUUGAUAUUGUUGUGAAGACAUGCAGUUACCGUAAGUGAGACCUAGAUUAGUUGUCGUGUCUUCAUACAAUUGUUGCUGGUAGGUAUCAUGGUUUUACUUUACUUUGAUUAUUACAUUUGUUAUUUAAUGUAGUUGCGGGCGGUCGACCUCUCUAGUGAAGGCAUCGCAGUUUAUUUUUUUUCAAGAUAAUAAACUCUUCGAUUGUUGUUCAUUAUUAGGAGUUGGUAUUACAUUAGUAACCAUAAUGCACGCACACCCAUAUAUGGAUAUAAUUACAAUGCUUUGUUAAUGUUAGUUUUGGAGCAUUAAAGAUAAUUAUAUUAACACUUUAUUUAUCUUUGUUGUACAUAAUAGUUUUAUGCGGGUGCACUACCAUUCGUUUUUCCAUCAGUAUCAUACUGCAUGCUAUGUUAGACACACAUAUGCACCUCCGAUCAAUGCUCUCCCUAACAAAUUUGGUUGGGUUAUUUUUGCAAACAUCAGAAGGGUGGUUGUACUCCUAUCUGUAAAAAGAAGACAACCGAAUAGACUGAGAAAGGGUCAGAUUCCUUCCAUUGGGAAAGCUCGUUGAAGAAAAAUUUGUGAAAAAAGCGAUGCAUAAGAACACAACCAUCUUAGUUUUCCUAAUGAAUGGACUUCCUUCAUCGAAGAGUCGAGCACAACUGCUAAUUUGAAAGCCAGGGAAAUCGUGAGGGCCACUGCCAAGGCAAGCCAAAAAUAUAGAUUUGCAAAGAGACUGGACACACUCGUUGUCGGUGCCCUGUACGAUUAUGCAUUAUAGGUGAUGAUAAUGUUGGCAAUGAUGCAGACAUUUAACAGAGAUCCCUAAAUUUAAAUGCUUCUGUAUAAGAGGUCCGAAGACCCAAGUUUUACGGUUAAAAUUCAAGCUUUCAAACUCC